UUUCAAUGACCAAAAAUUUGGUUUCACAAUGCCCUGCUUCAUUUUAGGUUUUCCAAAUUUCUCCUCUGCUUCUCUCAUUUCUUCAGUCUUUUCAUGUUCACUGUCUUCUUCAUUGACUCUUUCAAAUUCAAGCUUCUUAAUUGUAUUUUGUGGUAAGUUUUUCUCGCUUUUUUCUUCCUUAGUUUUUUUUUUUUGCUUCAAUAUUUUUCUUGUGCAAUUACUGAUAUUUUUAGAGAAUAUAAAGACAUGAAGUUUACAGAUGUGACCAUUUUUAUUUUCACUGAUCCAUUUGUGGAAAGGAAAAUUGGAUGAAAAUGACUAUAAACAAAAUAAUAUUUAACAACCAUCCAAACAAGUUGUUGAUGAAGAUGGAGAUACUGUUGCUCAAAUUUCGACAUACAUUCAUCAUCUGAAUCAAAUUUUGAUAUUUAUUCUUUUAGGUUAUUGUUCUCUAUUGUAUUUUCUCUAUAAAUAAUAUAUGAAUGUCAAUAGUAUUUUCUGAUUUAUUCAUGCAUCUUCACGAAUAAAUACUCAAGUUUCCUUAGUGCACCAAGGGUGUUUGAUAAUAUGCCUACAUCGAGAUGGAUCUUUGAUUCAGCACUAAAGGUUGGUCAAGCUGUGAACUAAUAAUUAUUUUUCCGUUCCUCGCUUCUUAGUGAACUUUUUUGUACUGUUGAAGGGAGAGAGGUAGAAAAGAGAUAUGCGAUACAGAAAUAUCAAGACAAAUAAAUAAAUGUCUUUUUUUCCUUUUCUUAAGUGAAGGAGAAAAGGAAAAAACAUAUGAUUGUUAUUUGUGGAAUUUGAACCUUUCAAUUCCAGGUAGAGUUUAAGUUAUUCAUAAAAUGAAUUCACCCUCAACUCCCUCUAAUUCUAUAUAGAAGCAACAUUACGUGCCUCAUUAUGAAAAAUCAUUUUUUUCCCAUUUUAUCACAGCUAAACUGGAAGGACCAAAGUUAUUUUCUUGCUUCCUGGAAUAAGAAUACAAGAGGGUACUUGAAUGUUUCUCAUAAUAUCAAAUAAUUUAGAAUAAUUGAAGGAUAUUCUCUAGAUUUGGUAACAACAUUUGAUGUUGGACCUAAUUAAUGUGCGGAAUGAUAGUUAAGUUAUCCGUAUGCGGUCAUCAUCAGUUGUAUUGGGUUAUGAAUGCUAACGAUAUGAAAUAAUGCAUUUAUUGCAAAUGAUGUACCUUUACAUUUGAGUUUUAUACAUGAUCAAUGUAAAUAUUUUUUGCACUAUCAGGUUAGCAGAUUUACAUUAACCUUCUUGAUAAAAUGUGCUACCCACAUGUAAAAAUUAUUUACGUUACGUUGACAAUGUAUAUUAUUUAUUAAACUCAUAUGUUUUAUUGUGCUUUCUAUUCUGGCUUUGAAAUUUGGGGCUGAGAAAAAGGUUGGGAUGUUCAUUGUUCAACUAAUUUGAGAUAUUAGACGAUGCUAUUGAUGUAAUGAAAUUGGAAGAUGGUGUAAUUCAAAACAUGGUAAAGUCUCUGAUUUGUAUUCACAAGUUGCAAUUCUUGAUGUUUUUCAUUGUAUUGAGUUAUUUUUCAUAAUAUUGACAAUUUUGACAAAUCUACAAUGAUUUUAACUCCACUAUAUACAUACUUGGUCGCCCAUGGAAGUAGUUUGAAAAGAUAAUUCAGCAAUUAUUUGGAAACCUUUCCUCAUGUUGGGAACCAAAAUGAGGUACAAGAAGCAAUGUAAAGUGUACUUCAAAUAGAACUUGAGUUGUACGAGUAGGGUUAAAAUAGUAAAUUCACUUUAUUCACUCUCUCACCUCUGCUUCUACUCUUUCUUCACUGCCUGACAACAUUGACAACCAUUUUAAACCUUCAACGGAGUUAAACUUUACUUCAGAGUCUCACUCCAACUUCUAAAGUUCUUUCAAUUGUUUACCUGGUAAGUAUUCUUGUGUGGUAUUGGCCCUCUUCCCUUAUGAAUUUUUACUCUUUUUUUUUUCAUUAUUGUGUUUAUGCUUCCUAUUAUUCUACUGAUUUUUCUUAUUUAUAGGUCUUCCACAAUUUUUCUUGAAUUCUUUUGAGUUCUUAUAGAUGCCUCUUGAAAUACAUGCAUAAUUUUGUUUUCAAUAUUUUGCAGUUUCUAACUCUAAAAUACUAAAAAUAUUAGUAGUAUUUUCUUAUCAAUAUAUGAUACUUUUUGCAGAUAAUUAAUGGCUUGAUGCGGUUGCAUGUUUGACGAAAUUUCCCGUGAAGGUAAGACUUGUGUGUUAUGAAGAGAGAUUAGUUACAAGAGUUGAUUGUUUUGGCAGAUGAUUCAAGGUGCUAAUGAAGUUGAACGGUGGGCUUAGGUGAAUAGACAUUUUCCCUUAUAAUAUCUUUUUUCCAUAUGGCAUCUUCCCCAAAAAAAAUUGAGAAAGAAUUUGAGUUGCCGAAUUCUUUGAUGCUGCCAUGAAAUUAGAAGUGAUAAUGUAAUGCUGAAAAUUCAGGGUAAGCUUUCAGUAUUGAUCUUUUUGUUGUUUGAACUACAUUUUUGAAAAAAAUCAGCUACUAAUAUAGUAAGUUGAGGUGGUAUUCAAAGACAAAUUGUUUAAAUACAAAGUCAGAAUAACAAGCAGGUUGAAUCAGGCGAAAAGGUUGAUUUCUGGCUCUCCAAUUUCCAAGUCCUUUAAGGAACCAUUCCACAUUUUCUUAAGAACCUUUAAACUUUUGGCAAUGGACCGUGAUGUUGGUGUCGCAUUUAUUUUUAGCAGUUGUUCUUGGAUAAAAGCUGGAACUUUAAUAUUGAAAAUUCUGUUACUAGAUUGAGUUCUAGAAGUCUGUCAUAUGAUCUUAUGCUUUCUCAAAGUUUUUGUUUCAUGUGUUCAUAUUAGUUAGAUACAAUUGAUAAUGUUAAAAAUAUUUUUCAUCUGAUCAAUCCAGAAAAAAAUGAACAUAAGAAAUGUAGCAAAUAAGUAAUAAUGUUGACGCUAGAAUUUUUUUGAGAAAUGAGUGAGUAAUAAAAUGUCCGGGUAAUGGAAGAAUCCUAUAAGACUAUUAAUUUAACGCAGAAACAAACUCUUUUCUUUAAUCUUGAGUUUGUUGAUCAAGAAUAGCUACUAACUCCUAAACUUUUUUAUAUCAUACGUGAAAUAGGAGUAGUAAUUUGAGUAUGCAAUAUAAUAAUAUUGUGUUAAGAGUGCUGUCAUAUGCUUUUUAUAGAGAAAUAUCAACUUCAUGUUUUCUCUUUUAUUUGUAGCAUAAUAUUCUUUCAUCAGAAUUUUGUGUCAUGGUCAUUAAUGGGUUCCUUCUUUUGCUUAUUGCAUUUGAAGGUUUGGCAAUGAAAUAGAUGAAAAAAAUGGAGGUUUUGCUUGAUCCAAGUAUGAGCUCUAAAAUGUAUGUGUUUAUCUUUCGCAAACAUUUUUAGCUAAUUUAUUCUCACAUUCAUUUGUUUUUGAAUAUUUUUACUCUUUCCAUGUCCCUCAAUAGAAGUAAAACAAACAUUUAUUUUGUAUUUCACGAGAGACAAUUUUGUAUAUGAGAUGUAGGUGAGACGAAGAGAAGCUGACAUUUUUAGUAUGUGCUCUUUCUAUGUCCCCAAAUUAAGAAGCAUAAGGAUAGGUAGAGCAUGAGCUCUUGCAGACUAAGUUGUUGUAUUAUAUGUUAAAUGUAAUAAAAGGAUUUUCUUAGUGGUUUAUACAACAUCAAUGUAAUAUUAUGUUAUUCAAACUUAAGGUCUGAUUUGAUUGUGAACUUUGGGCGGCCCAAAGUAAGAAAUGAACUUUUUGUUUUAGAACUACCAACUUCCAUAUUUGAAUGUGUAGCAGCCAUUAAAAAGAUAUCGAUUGAGUGCUUAUAACUUUAAGGUGGAAUAGAACUACAAAAAGUUAGGGUUGAUGUUCAUAAAAUAAACAAAUGGUGAAGCUUGCCAAUUGUAAAUCAAAUAUGUACAAAUAGUUGAACUGGUCGGUACUGACAGGUACAACCUUUGGUAUUUUUAUACAUAUGUUUGGAAAACACUUGCCUAAAUUUCCAUUUUGCAAAAAUAGGAGGAUUGACAGUAAUCUCAAUUUCAAUUGGUGGAUAGUUAUGAGAGUAAAAAUUAUUAAAUGAGUUUAGAUGAUUAAUAUACAAAGUGAAAACGUGAGAGAUCUACUAUUGAGUUCUUGUCAUAUCAGAGUCAACAACUUUGUUCGAACUGAUCGUUACACGCUUGUGAACAAUUUUGUAAAAAUAACCUAAAAAAUAAAGAGUUACAAGUGACUAUACAAACUCUUACAUGGAACUCUGGUGAACAACUCAUGCCUUUGAUUUGCUUCACUAUAUUAUGUUCGAAUACCACUUGAUUGUAUGAAGAGCUCCUACUUUGUUUUACUCAAUUUAUUCUAGGAUGUGAAAGUGAGUUUGCCUUAUAUGGGUCAAUUUAUGCAUACUGAACGUCAACAUCAGUUGUGGUAUUAGGUGUAUUAAACUUUAUUGCUGAAAUAUUGUAAAGAUGUACAAUUUCUCAAAUGGGUGGAUUUGUUGAUCUCCACAACCAACUAUACAAGAAUAUUGGAAACAAAUGGAAUUGGGUAUUUCAAAACAGGGAAGUCAUAUUUGUCGCGUUGGAAAAUUCGUCGUUUUUGCUUAUUUGUUUCUGGUGUGAAGGCUGAAAACUUUAUCUAAACUAUCAUGUGUGUGUGAGA
rnacentral:lncRNA from 1 species